rnacentral:tRNA from 1 species
GUCAUAGCUCAGUGGCAGAGCAUCUGCUUUACAUGCAGGAGGUCCCAGGUUCAAUCCCUGGCAUCUCCA